rnacentral:rRNA from 1 species
GACGAACGCUGGCGGCGUGCUUAACACAUGCAAGUCGAACGAAGUGGCGAACGGGUGAGUAACGCGUAAUCAACCUGCCCUUCAGAGGGGGACAACAGUUGGAAACGACUGCUAAUACCGCAUACUGAAGGGGGGGGUUGCGUCUGAUUAGCUAGUUGGGGGGGUAACGGCCCACCAAGGCGAGGAUCAGUAGCCGGUCUGGGGGGGUGGACGGCCAAAUUGGGAAUGGGAAAAGGCCCCGAAUCCUACGGGGGGCAGCAGUGGGGAAACUUCCGAAAUGGAGGAAAGUCUGACGGAGCAACGCCGCGUGAGUGAUGACGGCCUUCGGGUUGUAAAGCUCUGUUAAUCGGGACGCGGUACCGGAAUAGAAAGCCACGGCUAACUACGUGCCAGCCGCCGCGGUAAUUC